rnacentral:tRNA from 1 species
GCGAGAGUGGCGGAACUGGCAGACGCACCAGACUUAGGAUCUGGCGGGUAAUACCAUAGGGGUUCAACUCCCCUCUCUCGCA